rnacentral:rRNA from 1 species
ACGGAGGGUGCAAGCGUUAUUCGGAAUUACUGGGCGUAAAGCGCACGUAGGCCGCUUUGUAAGUCAGGGGUGAAAUCCCACGGCUCAACCGUGGAACUGCCCUUGAAACUGCAGAGCUUGAAUCCUGGAGAGGGUGGCGGAAUUCCUGGUGUAGGAGUGAAAUCCGUAGAUAUCAGGAGGAACACCGGUGGCGAAGGCGGCCACCUGGACAGGCAUUGACGCUGAGGUGCGAAAGUGUGGGGAGCAAACAG